rnacentral:snRNA from 1 species
AUACUUACCUGGCAGGGGAGACACCAUGAUCACGAAGGUGGUUUUCCCAGGGCGAGGCUGAUCCAUUGCACUGGGGAUCUGCUGACCCCUGCGAUUUCCCCAAAUGAGGGAAACUCAACUGUAUGGUUUGUGUUGGUGGGGGGUUGCAUCCAUGCUUUCCUCCC